AUUGAACGCUGGCGGCAUGCUUUACACAUGCAAGUCGAACGGUAACAGGUCUUCGGAUGCCGACAAGUGGCGAACGGGUGAGUAAUACAUCGGAACGUGCCUAGUAGUGGGGGAUAACUACUCGAAAGAGUAGCUAAUACCGCAUGAGAUCUACGGAUGAAAGCAGGGGACCUUCGGGCCUUGUGCUACUAGAGCGGCUGAUGGCAGAUUAGGUAGUUGGUGGGGUAAAGGCUUACCAAGCCUGCGAUCUGUAGCUGGUCUGAGAGGACGACCAGCCACACUGGGACUGAGACACGGCCCAGACUCCUACGGGAGGCAGCAGUGGGGAAUUUUGGACAAUGGGCGAAAGCCUGAUCCAGCAAUGCCGCGUGCAGGAUGAAGGCCCUCGGGUUGUAAACUGCUUUUGUACAGAACGAAAAGCCUGGGGCUAAUAUCCCCGGGUCAUGACGGUACCGUAAGAAUAAGCACCGGCUAACUACGUGCCAGCCGCCGCGGUAAUAC
rnacentral:rRNA from 1 species